GCUUGUCUCAAAGAUUAAGCCAUGCAUGUCUAAGUAUAAAUGGUAUACAGUGAAACUGCGAAUGGCUCAUUAAAACAGUUAUAGUUUAUUUGGUAUUCGAAUUUACAUGGAUAACCGUGGUAAUUCUAGAGCUAAUACAUGCAUUACGCCUGACUUUUCGGAAGGGCAGUAUUUAUUAGAUACAAAACCAACCCGGGCAACCGGUCCUUUGGUGAUUCAUGAUAACUUUGCGAAUCGCAUAGCUUUAAUGCUGGCGAUGGGUCAUUCAAAUUUCUGCCCUAUCAACUUUCGACGGUAGGAUAGAGGCCUACUGUGGUGAUAACGGGUAACGAAGAAUAAGGGUUCGAUUUCGGAGAGGGAGCCUGAGAAACGGCUACCACAUCCAAGGAAGGCAGCAGG
rnacentral:rRNA from 1 species